rnacentral:rRNA from 1 species
GACGAACGCUGGCGGCGUGCUUAACACAUGCAAGUCGAGCGAUGAAGCACCUUCGGGUGUGAAUUAGCGGCGAACGGGUGAGGAACACGUGAAGAAUCUGCCUUCAACUCUGGGAUAACUCCGGGAAACCGGGGCUAAUACCGGAUAUGAGCCUUGAUCGCAUGAUCGGGGCUGGAAAGUUUUUAGGUUGAAGAUGACUUCGCGGCCUAUCAGCUUGUUGGUGAGGUAAUGGCUCAACAAGGCGACGACGGGUAGCCGGCCGGAGAGGGCGACCGGCCACACUGGGACUGGCACACGGCCCAGACUCCUACGGGAGGCAGCAGUGGGGAAUCUUGGGCAAUGGAGGAAACUCUGACCCAGCGACGCCGCGUGAGGGAUGAAGGCCUUCGGGUUGUAAACCUCUUUCAGUAGGGAAGAAGCGAAAGUGACGGUACCUACAGAAGAAGCACCGGCUAACUCCGUGCCAGCAGCCGCCGUAA